GUUGCUUCUUGGUUCCUCUCACCUGUCCUCUCUGGCAUAAUGUCUGCCAUUCUUUUCUACUUUGUUCGCAAGUUCAUCCUGCAAAAGAAAGAUCCAGUGCCCAAUGGUCUGAGGGCCCUGCCUUUCUUCUACGCUGUUACAAUGGGAAUCAACCUGUUCUCCAUUAUGUUUACUGGAGCACCGAGGCUCAACAAUUCAAGAACUCAACUGGCCUGGGCCGUUAAAUGAAGGCUUCAGGCCAGAGUAUGACGCAAUAUGCACCCUCUGAGUGUGUACACGCAUGCACUCCCAGGCGGGUGCGCUUUGCAUAGGCACAGCAAGUGCUGGGCUUUGAUCAGCUGCUCUGGUGGGGAGUGCUGCUCAUUUCCAUCGGCUUGGCCCUGGUCAUCGCUAUCAUCGUUUGGUUUGUUGUCUGCCCUCGGCUCAAGAAGAAGAUCGAAUGUAAGUAUCUGUCUUUAGUCUUUGUGUUAAUUUUAACCAUGUAAACCAUAAAAUGUAUGUAAUGAUUAGCAAUAGAACUAUGAGUCCUAUCCAGUUGCACGGUGUCAUUUCCAGAGCACAGUUGGGUAGCAUAACCGUUGCCAAAUAGAUUAUUAAAAGAACGAUAAAUGGGUGGGCCCUUUACAGAUUUGUUUUUUCUUUUGCAUUGUACUUAGAUUUAACAAUACAUCGCUUUUGUUUGUUUUAUUUAUUAUAUAUAU